GAUGAACGCUGGCGGCGUGCCUAAUACAUGCAAGUCGAGCGAACAGACGAGGAGCUUGCUCCUCUGACGUUAGCGGCGGACGGGUGAGUAACACGUGGAUAACCUACCUAUAAGACUGGGAUAACUUCGGGAAACCGGAGCUAAUACCGGAUAAUAUAUUGAACCGCAUGGUUCAAUAGUGAAAGACGGUUUUGCUGUCACUUAUAGAAGGAUCCGCGCCGCAUUAGCUAGUUGGUAAGGUAACGGCUUACCAAGGCGACGAUGCGUAGCCGACCUGAGAGGGUGAUCGGCCACACGGGAACUGAGACACGGUCCAGACUCCUACGGGAGGCAGCAGUAGGGAAUCUUCCGCAAUGGGCGAAAGCCUGACGGAGCAACGCCGCGUGAGUGAUGAAGGUCUUCGGAUCGUAAAACUCUGUUAUUAGGGAAGAACAAAUGUGUAAGUAACUAUGCACGUCUUGACGGUACCUAAUCAGAAAGCCACGGCUAACUACGUG
rnacentral:rRNA from 1 species